rnacentral:tRNA from 1 species
UGGGGAAUAACUCAGUGAUAGAGCACAUGCUUAGCAUGCAGAAGAUCCUGGGUUCAAUCCCCAGUACCUCCA